AAGGCAACCAAAAGUCCGAACUGAUGGAAAGGGCUAGGCAAUCCACAUAUAGUGUAACAAUCUUCACUUCUCUAUACGACUAAAUUCGUUUGAACGGGGCAGUGGUAACCUUGAAAGGUGGACACCAAUCAGGUAGAUUCAUAGAAGGGUAUCUAGAAGGUAGAAGCUUUCUUCCUCGUUUACUUGGACACGAGCUGCAAUUUUGGUUCAAAAGUAUUUCCCUCCUUCACUCUUGCAGGUAACUGGUCACUCUAUUUAUUAUUCUUUCAAACCAGAAUUCUGAAGUACUUGUCUUCUUAAUUUUCUUCAGAUAGCUUACUCCGACAUCGGGCAACAUCACACAGCAUCAUCGCCUUUGUAUGUGGAGACUGGAAAGCUGGCCUAGCUGCUAGACAACCCCAUGAUCUCAUAAUGCAGAUGUCCGGCGGCCAUUCUUCUACCCUGAUUUCAUCGGCCAAAUGUUUGCCGACACCGACUCUAGAUGGGUAGUCUAGCACUCUAGCCAUGCUUGGAAUGGAAGCGAAAGCAUCCUGCAUUGUCUUGGUGGAGCUGGAAGAGAAGAAGUGGUGACUUGUGAGAACCAGAGAAACUCCUAUGUAGGUUCCUCCCGACUUAUAACAAAAACAAUUCACGACAAGAAGAAUCUUGUGGAUCAUGGGCAAGACAAGCCGAUCCUUUCUUGUUUACUUUCUGUAGCCAUGUCUAAAGUAUUGGCGACAGGAUUUGAUUCCACUCGUGCAGCACGGCUGGUUGGUAAGGUAUCCGUAACAUUUGGCAUCUCAUUUGAGUUUUAUAAUAUGAUGCAUAUCAAGAUCAUGAAAA